rnacentral:tRNA from 1 species
GACGAUUGCUUAUUCAUAGGCUAUUAUGAGUUCAAGACAGGCCGCUAUGGUGAAAUUGGUAGACACGCUGCUCUUAGGAAGCAGUGCUAAUGCAUCUCGGUUCGAGUCCGAGUGGCGGCA